AUUGAACGCUGGCGGCAGGCCUAACACAUGCAAGUCGAAUGGUAACAGGAAACAGCUUGCUGUUUCGCUGACGAGUGGCGGACGGGUGAGUAAUGUCUGGGAAACUGCCUGAUGGAGGGGGAUAACUACUGGAAACGGUAGCUAAUACCGCAUAACGUCGCAAGACCAAAGAGGGGGACCUUCGGGCCUCUUGCUAUCAGAUGUGCCCAGAUGGGAUUAGCUAGUAGGUGGGGUAACGGCUCACCUAGGCGACGAUCCCUAGCUGGUCUGAGAGGAUGACCGGCCACACUGGAACUGAGACACGGUCCAGACUCCUACGGGAGGCAGCAGUGGGGAAUAUUGCACAAUGGGCGCAAGCCUGAUGCAGCCAUGCCGCGUGUAUGAAGAAGGCCUUCGGGUUGUAAAGUACUUUCAGCGGGGAGGAAGGGAGUAAAGUUAAUACCUUUGCUCAUUGACGUUACCCGCAGAAGAAGCACCGGCUAACUCCGUG
rnacentral:rRNA from 1 species